GAUGAAGAACGUAGCGAAAUGCGAUACGUAAUGUGAAUUGCAAAUUCAGUGAAUCAUCGAGUCUUUGAACGCACAUUGCGCCCCCUGGUAUUCCGGGGGGCAUGCCUGUCCGAGCGUCAUUGCUGCCCUCAAGCACGGCUUGUGUGUUGGGCCCCGUCCUCCGAUCCCGGGGGACGGGCCCGAAAGGCAGCGGCGGCACCGCGUCCGGUCCUCGAGCGUAUGGGGCUUUGUCACCCGCUCUGUAGGCCCGGCCGGCGCUUGCCGAUCAACCCAAAUUUUUAUCCAGGUUGACCCCGGAUCAGGUAGGGAUACCCGCUGAACUUAAGCAUAUCAAUAAGCGGAGGA
rnacentral:misc_RNA from 1 species